AAUCACUUGUCUUUUAAAUGAAGACCUGUAUGAAUGGCAAGACGAGGGCUUAACUGUCUCCUUUUCCCAGUCAAUGAAAUUGAUCUCCCCGUGCAGAAGCGGGGAUAACAACAUAAGACGAGAAGACCCUGUGGAGCUUUAGACAAAAACCGCUCAUGUUAAAUACCAUCAAAUAAGAAAAGUAAAAUAAUGAUUUCCGUUUCAUGUCUUCGGUUGGGGCGACCUUGGGGAAAUACAAAACCCCCAUAUGGAAGGAAGCACUCACCCCCCUAAUCAUCCGCUUCCAAAAGCUAGAGAAUACAACUCUAACUAACAGAAUUUCUGACCUUCCUUGACCCGGCUAAUGCCGAUCAAUGAACCAAGUUACCCCAGGGAUAACAGCGCAAUCCCCUUAUAGAGCCCGUAUCAGCAAGGGGGUUUACGACCUCGAUGUUGGAUCAGGACAUCCUAAUGGUGCAACCGCUAUUAAAGGUUCGUUUGUUCAACGAUUAA
rnacentral:rRNA from 1 species